rnacentral:lncRNA from 1 species
GUGAUAAACAACACCAUGAUCGUUAAUAGAUAUGGUGGUGAGAGUAGCAAUGGGUAAUGGGUAUGGUGAGUUGACAUCUCAAAAUGUGAAUGGUCUGCUACCCACAAUCUCAUAUGAUAUAUAAAUUGAGAUGUUUAUUGGAAUGUACAUAUUCUAUUAGCAUCGAGGUGUUAUUGGUUACUGAGUCUAGUGAGUCUGCCAUGGUUGACUGUACCAAAUUCUGAUCCUUGUCAGAUUGAUGAGUUAGUGCCUAGUGCUAUAAGCAUAGGACUAAUGUCACAAAAAAUCGAUAGAACUCGAUUAUUUUCUGAUGGCAUGAAAAAUAAUGAAAAAUGUUAUACUCAAUGUGACUGAAACUGACAUAUAAAUUGUAGUUUCUAAAGUCAAUAUGGUUGAGAAUAACCAUAUAAAAUGGUGAUUUUGAUUGCACAAAUAAUAUCUUGUAAUGAUAUGCAUAUUUGCUAAAAAACAAAAUAUGUUUUUGGAAAAAUCAAAACAUACAAGUUAGAUUUAUUAAUGAACUUGAGAGAACUAUGAAAAUAGUUGUAUGUAAAAUGUGAAUUACUAAGAUUGAAAUACAUUUUUAAGAAAAUUAUAAUA